rnacentral:rRNA from 1 species
GCGGCGUGCUUAACACAUGCAAGUCGAACGCUGAAGCGCCCAGCUUGCUGGGUGUGGAUGAGUGGCGAACGGGUGAGUAACACGUGAGUAACCUGCCCCUGACUUCGGGAUAAGCCUGGGAAACUGGGUCUAAUACCGGAUAUGACUACUGGCCGCAUGGUCUGGUGGUGGAAAGGGUUUUACUGGUUGGGGAUGGACUCGCGGCCUAUCAGUUUGUUGGUGGGGUAGUGGCCUACCAAGACGACGACGGGUAGCCGGCCUGAGAGGGCGACCGGCCACACUGGGACUGAGACACGGCCCAGACUCCUACGGGAGGCAGCAGUGGGGAAUAUUGCACAAUGGGGGGAACCCUGAUGCAGCGACGCCGCGUGCGGGAUGACGGCCUUCGGGUUGUAAACCGCUUUCAGUAGGGAAGAAGCGAAAGUGACGGUACCUGCAGAAGAAGUACCGGCUAACUACGUGCCAGCAGCCGCGGUAAUACGUAGGGUACAAGCGUUGUCCGGAAUUAUUGGGCGUAAAGAGCUCGUAGGUGGUUGGUCACGUCUGCUGUGGAAACGCAACGCUUAACGUUGCGCGUGCAGUGGGUACGGGCUGACUAGAGUGCAGUAGGGGAGUCUGGAAUUCCUGGUGUAGCGGUGAAAUGCGCAGAUAUCAGGAGGAACACCGGUGGCGAAGGCGGGACUCUGGGCUGUAACUGACGCUGAGGAGCGAAAGCAUGGGGAGCGAACAGGAUUAGAUACCCUGGUAGUCCAUGCCGUAAACGUUGGGAACUAGGUGUGGGGUCCAUUCCACGGAUUCCGUGCCGUAGCUAACGCAUUAAGUUCCCCGCCUGGGGAGUACGGCCGCAAGGCUAAAACUCAAAUGAAUUGACGG